GAAGGGGAAGCUGCAGCUGCAGAGCAGCCUCAAACAGGAGGCCUUCCAGCAGGUGGAGAAGCUGCAGAGCCAGCUCAGCCACAUGGAGGCGCUGUGCAGACAAAGCUCAGCUGCAGGUCAGAGCCGGACAUAUUGCACGCUGUCGCUCAGCAGAUUGAGCACCAGAAGCCCCUCAGCAGGUCCGGGCAGGAGCGCUCAGCGGACUCUUGGCAGCUCGGCGGCCUUCGGCACUCUUCGGGGCCUCACAGCAGAGCCGAGACACGA